rnacentral:misc_RNA from 1 species
AGCAGACCAGUUCUUAUACAAUGCCCAAAUCUGACCUUUUCUAGGCAAAAUGGUAUAUUCAUUUUUCUUGCCGGCAGGUUCUGCACUUACUUUGUGAGAGAAGGAUUCAGCAGAUGUAUAAGAUUGUGAUUUACGCAUGUUAGUCCUAAAUCUUCCACAACAAAUGAUCAUAUCCUUAUCAUGCCAUUGGAUCACAUCAUUUCGCAAUGCACAAGGUUCAAGCCACCUAAGCCACAAUCUGAAACCUUGGUCAGAAGCAACUUUUGUGAUCUGACCAUAGUACUUUGGCAAGCAAUCCUCAUCACUGUACAAUGACCAGAUCUGACCAACCUGAAACUUUUCAAUGGAUUUCUCAGCUUCAAAGUUGAAGAAUUCUGCUUCUGGAACUUCCAUACAUUCUGGGGUUGAAGCUGGAGGAGUAUCACAGACAUUGGCAAGUUCAGGUUCUAGAUAAGCACCCUUCAGACCAGCCCCCUGCUUAGUGCUUGCUUCAGACUCCACUCCAGGUUUCACUUUAUGUGAAGAUUUUGAACACGGAUCCCUGGGAUGACUAUUACCAGCGUCAACUACCAUAUAUUCAGGGACGACAAUCUCUUCAAUAUUUUUAGGCAAAGAAGCUGGAUCAAGUUCAAAAGAUCCCUUUGGCACACCUUGUCCUUCCUCACCCGUCAAUUUAAAUGAUGGAAUCAUGUGGGAAAAGCGGAAUAGUUCACCUGGUGGAAUUUGAAAUGUGUCAUUCCCUUCUUUACUAGUACGACAGAAAAGACUCGUAAAGGCCUUCAACUUGCCUAAAUACGCAACGCAUGCACCGCCAUCCUCCGUAUACUCUGACAAUAUUUCAACAAAUUCAUAUUCAAACUUCUGGCUAGGGUCUGCAUUAAAUUUCCAUUUAAUAUCCCAGUUCUUGAAGACAGCCCAAAUUUCCCCUUUUCUUGGAAAUAUCUUGUAAGUGUCCCUUUGGCGGCAUUGUUCCCAGUUAAUCAUAUGGGAAAACAUAAGUCGAUCUUCAGUAAUUUCGGAGCCUCCACCUCUAAACUUACCACAAGCAGCUGGCAAGUCCUCACUGACCCAUCGAAUUUCAUCCUCAUCACCUGGGUCUGGCUCCAACCAGCUUAUCCGCAGUUUGAACCCAGGAGACAAAACUUUCCUAAUUCGAACAUAAAACCUAGGCAUGGCAUCCAAGGUAUCAUAAACAGCCCAGAUCUGCCCUAUCGAAAAACACUUUUCAUUCCGAACUUCAUUAAAAUCAUUGAAAUCUGGAUCAGGAUACUCAUACAGCUCUGGGUCUGUUGUGUA